rnacentral:rRNA from 1 species
UGGGGAAUAUUGGACAAUGGGCGAAAGCCUGAUCCAGCCAUGCCGCGUGUGUGAAGAAGGUCUUCGGAUUGUAAAGCACUUUAAGUUGGGAGGAAGGGCAUUAACCUAAUACGUUAGUGUUUUGACGUUACCGACAGAAUAAGCACCGGCUAACUCUGUGCCAGAAGCCGCGGUAAUACAGAGGGUGCAAGCGUUAAUCGGAAUUACUGGGCGUAAAGCGCGCGUAGGUGGUCUGUUAAGUUGGAUGUGAAAUCCCCGGGCUCAACCUGGGAACUGCAUUCAAAACUGACUGACUAGAGUAUGGUAGAGGGUGGUGGAAUUUCCUGUGUAGCGGUGAAAUGCGUAGAUAUAGGAAGGAACACCAGUGGCGAAGGCGACCACCUGGACUAAUACUGACACUGAGGUGCGAAAGCGUGGGGAGCAAACA